UGGUGGAGUGAUUUGUCUGGUUGAUUCCGAUAACGAACGAGACCUUAACCUGCUAAAUAGUUACGUUAACUCUUCUGAUUAUGCAGUGAAGCUGGAGAUGUGAUGCCGAUUUUUCGGGGUUGGGACAAGUGCCCUUCUUUGAGGUUGGCCGUCUCCGGUGGAUCUGUUGAUGAGUUGGCGGCUAUACUUCUUAGAGGGACUAUUUGUGUUAAAGCAAGUGGAAGUUUAAGUCAAUAA
rnacentral:rRNA from 1 species